rnacentral:rRNA from 1 species
AGUUAAGCGUGAUUGGGAUAGAGUAGUACUAGGAUGGGUGACCGCCUAGGAAUUCUUAGUAUUUUACAUGGU